UGGGGAAUAUUGGACAAUGGGCGAAAGCCUGAUCCAGCCAUGCCGCGUGUGUGAAGAAGGUCUUCGGAUUGUAAAGCACUUUAAGUUGGGAGGAAGGGCAGUUACCUAAUACGUGAUUGUUUUGACGUUACCGACAGAGUAAGCACCGGCUAACUCUGUGCCAGCAGCCGCGGUAAUACAGAGGGUGCAAGCGUUAAUCGGAAUUACUGGGCGUAAAGCGCGCGUAGGUGGUUAGUUAAGUUGGAUGUGAAAUCCCCGGGCUCAACCUGGGAACUGCAUUCAAACUGACUGACUAGAGUAUGGUAGAGGGUGGUGGAAUUUCCUGUGUAGCGGUGAAAUGCGUAGAUAUAGGAAGGAACACCAGUGGCGAAGGCGACCACCUGGACUGAUACUGACACUGAGGUGCGAAGCGUGGGGAGCAAACAGGAUUAGAUACCCUGGUAGUCC
rnacentral:rRNA from 1 species